rnacentral:rRNA from 1 species
GACGAACGCUGGCGGCGUGCCUAAUACAUGCAAGUCGAGCGAUGAAGAUUGGUUCUUGCCUCAAUUUGAAGAGCAGCGAACGGGUGAGUAACGCGUGGGUAAUCUGCCUUUGAGCGUGGGACAACAUUUGGAAACGUAUGCUAAUAUCCCAUAACAACUUUAAACAUAGGUUUUAUGUUUCAAAGCUGCAUUUGCUUCACUUAAGUCUGAUCCCCCGGUGUAUUAGGUAGUUGGGGAGGUAAAGGCCCACCAAGGCGAUGGUACAGAGCCGACCUGAGAAGGUGGACGGCCAAAAUGGGACUGAGACACGGCCCAAAAUCCUACGGGAGGGAGCAGUAGGGGAACUUCGGAAAAGGACGAAAGUCUGACCGAGCAACGCCGCGGGAGGGAAGAAGGGUUUCGGAACGUAAAACUCUGUUGGUAGGGAAGAAAGGGGGUGAGGGUGGAAAGCUCAUGAAGUGACGGUAACAACCCAGAAAGCGACGGCUAACUACGUG